CCAAACACAGGCACGGCUUUACAGAAGAAAUGGGUCAUGUAACGCAACAUUAAACCAUAUCGAUAUAAACGACAUUGCUUCGUUCGUGUAGAGGCAGCAGAUGCGAGGACGUUAGGUGCACCGGUGCAACCUAGGAAAAAUCUUAGUCGCACCCUUAUACUCUAGAGCCCUGCUGUAUGGAUGUGAUGUGUAGAAAAGCCAAAGCAGACAAAUACAAGACUAGAGUAUACUUGUCCUGGGGAUACACAGUGGUAGUUAGGUGUCCUACUCAAUGAAACCAAACUGGAAAAUACUAAAUCAUCAACAAGUUUUUUUAAAUUUUUAACUGAACAGUGCAUCAGGCGCUGGUUGUACAUUUGGUGGCUGUAGCAACUGUGUCUCUGCCUGAUGGAAAGUGGUGAAAUCGAUCCACUUUAUGUCCUUCUGCUGGUUUAUUGUUUUUGUUCUCUGCCUUUUCUUUCUGCCAGGACGUUCAAAAAACAAAAGAAAUGCAGCAGCAGCAGCACAUCACAUCAAAGAGGAUAACAUCUACGAGGAGAUACAGGAGCCCCCCUCUGCCUCGCUGCAUUACUCGACCGUCAACUUUACAAACUGCUCAGACAAAGCUGGUGCUGAGACACUGCUCACCAAACCCAGCUCCUCUGCCUGUGAAUAUUCGACUGUGAAAAACAGCCAAAGUCAAACCUCCUCUACUGUCAACCAGCCAUCUUCAGAGGAUCCUCUCUACUCAACAGUCAACAAGUCAUAGGAGCAAUGAGGAAGGAUCAGUGUGGGGUUUUACCGUGGAAGAUUUCAAUGUCUUGGACAAAUGGAGAAAUUCUGAUCAAAUAGUAUCUGUGUUUAUACAGCUUAAAAACAAUUGAUAAGCAGGCUAAAUAAUGUAUGUAUGAGUGUCUAGAGUUGGAUUGUACUCAAAUGUGCCUAAGCUGCUGCUUCAGUCUGAGUGUGUGUGCUGGGGAGGGGGGGGAGAGAGAGAGUGAGUGGGCUGUUGGCGCUCCUGUUUUUUUGCUAGACUGCUUGUUUUUAAUUACUAUGGUCACCACGUCAUCUAUAGUCCUGUUCAAUUUCUUUUUAAAAUUGUUAUUUUUUUAUAAUUGUCAUACCUGUCCAGGGACUACAGGUGGAUAUUAGCAAUUGUUGCUAUAACCUGGCCCAAGACAUAUUCUCUUGUAUUACAAGUUUAAUGUUUAUUUGUGCAUUGUCCCAAAUACAUUUCCAUUCCAUUCCAAGCCGACCUAGAGGUGCACUGCCAUGAUCUGGCAAGUUGAAUCACCCAAAGAGACUGCGCUUGUUAAGAAGUGUAAAAAUAUUUGGGGUUCAUUAUGACACUCUUGGUGUACAAGCUGGAAGUGACUAUUUGAUGAAAAGCAAGUAAAAAUGUGUAAACCUGAGUCAAAAUAAAACCCUAAAUUCUUG